rnacentral:antisense_RNA from 1 species
AGCUCUCAAAUCUCCUCUAUUGAUUGAUCUGAGUUGGCUGAUGAGUUGGCAGGCAAGGGCAGUGACUGGAAGCUGGGAGAGAGGGUCAACAGCUGAAUCUCAGCCUGAUAGAGGCCACCAUUUAAUAAGUAAAUACAUGCACAGCUAUUUAGAUCCUGCAUCAGACAGCUUCCUCAGCUUCCUCAGAAAGGUCAUCAGAAAACAUGAAGCUAAAUGCAGUAAAGAAUUACUCUCUUGAACUCUUGAAAAUAUCAUUUUCUUAGAGAAAUGGUUUAAAAAUUUCUUUUUUAUUAUUUCAAAUUUUCCUUCAGAAAAUUGUGAGUUUUAACCUACAACACAUACACUCCAAGGUAAUGCCACUCUAAUGCUGUCUAGUUGAUCUGAAUAACUGGUAAAUUAUCAGAUCCACCAAACUCUCUGGAGAUUAACUUCUGCCAGCAUAUUGGUUUCUGUUCAUUUUCACAAGACUGACAGACUCAUUACGGCAAUAUUAACAUCUUCCUUUGAGCACUCACACUGUGCAAUUGUAAUUUUGCAUAUGUUGAUGAGCAGGCAAUUAUAUCAAAGAGUGAACACUGGGCUGAUGUGCAAGGCACUAUUUAAUUAUAAAACAGUAUAGGAUUGAGCCCUGUCAUUGAGUCUUCCAUUCCUUCUAUCUCUCCUGUUUCUAAUUUAUUUCUCUAUUUCUUCCUUGACUGUCUUCAUUCUCUGCUUUUUAUUCCUUUCUCCUUCAUUCCCUCUCCAU